rnacentral:rRNA from 1 species
UCGGGAAUUUUGGGCAAUGGGCGAAAGCCUGACCCAGCAACGCCGCGUGAAGGAUGAAGUAUUUCGGUAUGUAAACUUCGAAAGAAUAGGAAGAAUAAAUGACGGUACUAUUUAUAAGCUCCGGCUAACUACGUGCCAGCAGCCGCGGUAAUACGUAGGGAGCAAGCGUUGUUCGGAUUUACUGGGCGUAAAGGGCGCGUAGGCGGCGCGGUAAGUCACUUGUGAAAUCUCUGAGCUUAACUCAGAACGGCCAAGUGAUACUGCAGUGCUAGAGUGCAGAAGGGGCAAUCGGAAUUCUUGGUGUAGCGGUGAAAUGCGUAGAUAUCAAGAGGAACACCUGAGGUGAAGACGGGUUGCUGGGCUGACACUGACGCUGAGGAGCGAAAGCGUGGGGAGCAAACAGGAUUAGAUACCCAUGUAGUCCCUGAGCGGGCUGGCAAGGCGCAU